GUGGGGAAUAUUGGACAAUGGGCGAAAGCCUGAUCCAGCCAUGCCGCGUGUGUGAAGAAGGUCUUCGGAUUGUAAAGCACUUUAAGUUGGGAGGAAGGGCAGUAAGUUAAUACCUUGCUGUUUUGACGUUACCAAUAGAAUAAGCACCGGCUAACUUCGUGCCAGCAGCCGCGGUAAUACGAAGGGUGCAAGCGUUAAUCGGAAUUACUGGGCGUAAAGCGCGCGUAGGUGGUUUUGUAAGUUGGAGGUGAAAUCCCCGGGCUCAACCUGGGAACUGCCUCCAAAACUGCAUGACUAGAGUACGGUAGAGGGUAGUGGAAUUUCCUGUGUAGCGGUGAAAUGCGUAGAUAUAGGAAGGAACACCAGUGGCGAAGGCGACUACCUGGACUGAUACUGACACUGAGGUGCGAAAGCGUGGGGAGCAAACAGGAUUAGAUACCCCGGUAGUCC
rnacentral:rRNA from 1 species